rnacentral:rRNA from 1 species
UGGGGAAUAUUGGACAAUGGGCGAAAGCCUGAUCCAGCGACGCCGCGUGUCGGAAGGAGUCCUUCGGGAUGUAAACGACUUUUGGUGGAGACGAAUAAGCAGCUCGGGGAAUGGGGCUGUGAUGACGGUAUCCAUGGAAUAAGCCCCGGCUAACUACGUGCCAGCAGCCGCGGUAAGACGUAGGGGGCAAGCGUUGCCCGGAAUUACUGGGCGUAAAGGGAGCGUAGGCGGGAGGUCAAGUCCGGUGUGAAAGACCCUGGCUCAACCAGGGAUGAGGGCUGGAAACUGACAAUCUUGAGUACAGCAGAGGAAGAGGGAAUUACCGGUGUAGGGGUGAAAUCCGUAGAGACCGGUAAGAAGGCCAGUGGCGAAGGCGCUUUUCUGGGCUGUUACUGUCGCUGAGGCUCGAAAGCCAGGGGAGCAAACCG